rnacentral:rRNA from 1 species
GACGAACGCUGGCGGCGUGCUUAACACAUGCAAGUCGAACGGAAAGGCCCUGCUUUUGUGGGGUGCUCGAGUGGCGAACGGGUGAGUAACACGUGAGUAACCUGCCCUUGACUUUGGGAUAACUUCAGGAAACUGGGGCUAAUACCGGAUAGGAGCUCCUGCUGCAUGGUGGGGGUUGGAAAGUUUCGGCGGUUGGGGAUGGACUCGCGGCUUAUCAGCUCGUUGGUGGGGUAGUGGCUUACCAAGGCUUUGACGGGUAGCCGGCCUGAGAGGGUGACCGGCCACAUUGGGACUGAGAUACGGCGCAGACUCCUACGGGAGGCAGCAGUGGGGAAUAUUGCACAAUGGGCGGAAGCCUGAUGCAGCAACGCCGCGUGCGGGAUGACGGCCUUCGGGUUGUAAACCGCUUUCGCCUGUGACGAAGCGUGAGUGACGGUAAGGGGUAAAGAAGCACCGGCUAACUACG